rnacentral:rRNA from 1 species
AGGGCGCACGGUGGAUGCCUUGGCACUAGAAGCCGAUGAAGGACGUUACUAACGACGAUAUGCUUUGGGGAGCUGUAAGUAAGCUUUGAUCCAGAGAUUUCCGAAUGGGGAAACCCAGCAUGAGUUAUGUCAUGUUAUCGAUAUGUGAAUACAUAGCAUAUCAGAAGGCACACCCGGAGAACUGAAACAUCUUAGUACCCGGAGGAAGAGAAAGAAAAUUCGAUUCCCUUAGUAGCGGCGAGCGAAACGGGAAGAGCCCAAACCAACAAGCUUGCUUGUUGGGGUUGUAGGACACUCUAUACGGAGUUACAAAGGACGACAUUAGACGAAUCAUCUGGAAAGAUGAAUCAAAGAAGGUAAUAAUCCUGUAGUCGAAAAUGUUGUCUCUCUUGAGUGGAUCCUGAGUACGACGGAGCACGUGAAAUUCCGUCGGAAUCUGGGAGGACCAUCUCCUAAGGCUAAAUACUCUCUAGUGACCGAUAGUGAACCAGUACCGUGAGGGAAAGGUGAAAAGCACCCCGGAAGGGGAGUGAAAUAGAACCUGAAACCGUGUGCUUACAAGUAGUCAGAGCCCGUUAAUGGGUGAUGGCGUGCCUUUUGUAGAAUGAACCGGCGAGUUACGAUUUGAUGCAAGGUUAAGCAGUAAAUGUGGAGCCGUAGCGAAAGCGAGUCUGAAUAGGGCGUUUAGUAUUUGGUCGUAGACCCGAAACCAGGUGAUCUACCCUUGGUCAGGUUGAAGUUCAGGUAACACUGAAUGGAGGACCGAACCGACUUACGUUGAAAAGUGAGCGGAUGAACUGAGGGUAGCGGAGAAAUUCCAAUCGAACCUGGAGAUAGCUGGUUCUCUCCGAAAUAGCUUUAGGGCUAGCCUCAAGUGAUGAUUAUUGGAGGUAGAGCACUGUUUGGACGAGGGGCCCCUCUCGGGUUACCGAAUUCAGACAAACUCCGAAUGCCAAUUAAUUUAACUUGGGAGUCAGAACAUGGGUGAUAAGGUCCGUGUUCGAAAGGGAAACAGCCCAGACCACCAGCUAAGGUCCAAAAUAUAUGUUAAGUGGAAAAGGAUGUGGCGUUGCCCAGACAACUAGGAUGUUGGCUUAGAAGCAGCCAUCAUUUAAAGAGUGCGUAAUAGCUCACUAGUCGAGUGACACUGCGCCGAAAAUGUACCGGGGCUAAACAUAUUACCGAAGCUGUGGAUUGUCCUUUGGACAAUGGUAGGAGAGCGUUCUAAGGGCGUUGAAGCAUGAUCGUAAGGACAUGUGGAGCGCUUAGAAGUGAGAAUGCCGGUGUGAGUAGCGAAAGACGGGUGAGAAUCCCGUCCACCGAUUGACUAAGGUUUCCAGAGGAAGGCUCGUCCGCUCUGGGUUAGUCGGGUCCUAAGCUGAGGCCGACAGGCGUAGGCGAUGGAUAACAGGUUGAUAUUCCUGUACCACCUAUAAUCGUUUUAAUCGAUGGGGGGACGCAGUAGGAUAGGCGAAGCGUGCGAUUGGAUUGCACGUCUAAGCAGUAAGGCUGAGUAUUAGGCAAAUCCGGUACUCGUUAAGGCUGAGCUGUGAUGGGGAGAAGACAUUGUGUCUUCGAGUCGUUGAUUUCACACUGCCGAGAAAAGCCUCUAGAUAGAAAAUAGGUGCCCGUACCGCAAACCGACACAGGUAGUCAAGAUGAGAAUUCUAAGGUGAGCGAGCGAACUCUCGUUAAGGAACUCGGCAAAAUGACCCCGUAACUUCGGGAGAAGGGGUGCUCUUUAGGGUUAACGCCCAGAAGAGCCGCAGUGAAUAGGCCCAAGCGACUGUUUAUCAAAAACACAGGUCUCUGCUAAACCGUAAGGUGAUGUAUAGGGGCUGACGCCUGCCCGGUGCUGGAAGGUUAAGAGGAGUGGUUAGCUUCUGCGAAGCUACGAAUCGAAGCCCCAGUAAACGGCGGCCGUAACUAUAACGGUCCUAAGGUAGCGAAAUUCCUUGUCGGGUAAGUUCCGACCCGCACGAAAGGCGUAACGAUUUGGGCACUGUCUCAACGAGAGACUCGGUGAAAUCAUAGUACCUGUGAAGAUGCAGGUUACCCGCGACAGGACGGAAAGACCCCGUGGAGCUUUACUGUAGCCUGAUAUUGAAAUUCGGCACAGCUUGUACAGGAUAGGUAGGAGCCUUUGAAACGUGAGCGCUAGCUUACGUGGAGGCGCUGGUGGGAUACUACCCUAGCUGUGUUGGCUUUCUAACCCGCACCACUUAUCGUGGUGGGAGACAGUGUCAGGCGGGCAGUUUGACUGGGGCGGUCGCCUCCUAAAAGGUAACGGAGGCGCUCAAAGGUUCCCUCAGAAUGGUUGGAAAUCAUUCAUAGAGUGUAAAGGCAUAAGGGAGCUUGACUGCGAGACCUACAAGUCGAGCAGGGUCGAAAGACGGACUUAGUGAUCCGGUGGUUCCGCAUGGAAGGGCCAUCGCUCAACGGAUAAAAGCUACCCCGGGGAUAACAGGCUUAUCUCCCCCAAGAGUUCACAUCGACGGGGAGGUUUGGCACCUCGAUGUCGGCUCAUCGCAUCCUGGGGCUGUAGUCGGUCCCAAGGGUUGGGCUGUUCGCCCAUUAAAGCGGUACGCGAGCUGGGUUCAGAACGUCGUGAGACAGUUCGGUCCCUAUCCGUCGUGGGCGUAGGAAAUUUGAGAGGAGCUGUCCUUAGUACGAGAGGACCGGGAUGGACAUACCUCUGGUGUACCAGUUGUCGUGCCAACGGCAUAGCUGGGUAGCUAUGUGUGGACGGGAUAAGUGCUGAAAGCAUCUAAGCAUGAAGCCCCCCUCAAGAUGAGAUUUCCCAACUUCGGUUAU